CCUUNACAUGCAAGNUCGCACGAGAACUCUUCCUGCUUGCAGAAGAUAGUAAAGGUGGCGCACGGUGAUGAAGGUAACGCGNUGGGUAAUCUCCCUCCGAAUUGGCCUAUAACAUUGCGAAAGCGAUGCUAAUACCGAAUAAUAUCAUCAGUCCCUCGGGAUUGGUGAUCAAAGGUGGCCUCUAUAUAUAAGCUACCGUUUGGAGAUGAGCCCGCGUACCAUUAGCUUGUUGGUAGGGUAACGGCCUACCAAGGCAACGAUGGUUAGCUGGUCUGAGAGGAUGAUCAGCCACACUGGAACUGACACACGGUCCAGACUCCUACGGGAGGCAGCAGUGAGGAAUUUUGCGCAAUGGGGGAAACCCUGACGCAGCAACGCCGCGUGAGUGAUGAAGGCCUUCNGGUCGUAAAGCUCUGUCAAGUGGGAAGAAACUAUCCGAUGCCAAUACCAUCGGGUACUGACGGUACCACUGAAGGAAGCACCGGCUAACUCCGUGCCAGCAGCCGCGGUAAUACGGGGGGUGCAAGCGUUAUUCGGAAUCAUUGGGCGUAAAGGGCGCGUAGGCGGUAUCUUAAGUCAGAUGUGAAAGCCCGGGGCUUAACCCCGGAAGUGCAUUUGAAACUGGGAUACUUGAGUAUGGGAGAGGGAAGUGGAAUUCCUGGUGUAGAGGUGAAAUUCGUAGAUAUCAGGAGGAACACCGGUGGCGAAGGCGACUUCCUGGACCAAUACUGACGCUGAGGCGCGAAGGCGUGGGGAGCAAACAGGAUUAGAUACCCUGGUAGUCCACGCAGUAAACGUUGAACACUAGGUGUAGCGGGUAUUGACCCCUGCUGUGCCGUANUUAACGCAUUAAGUGNUUCCGCCCUGGGGAGUACGGUCGCAAGAUUAAAAACUCAAGGGAAUUGACGGGGGCCCNCACNAAGCGGUGGGAGCAUGUGGGUUUUAAUUCNACNCCAACGCCGAANAANCCUUAACCUGGGGCUUGACAUUCCCGAANAANUUCU
rnacentral:rRNA from 1 species